CGGACGGGUGAGUAAUGUCUGGGAAACUGCCUGAUGGAGGGGGAGUAACUACUGGAAACGGUAGCUAAUACCGCAUAACGUCGCAAGACCAAAGAGGGGGACCUUCGGGCCUCUUGCCAUCAGAUGUGCCCAGAUGGGAUUAGCUAGUAGGUGGGGUAACGGCUCACCUAGGCGACGAUCCCUAGCUGGUCUGAGAGGAUGACCAGCCACACUGGAACUGAGACACGGUCCAGACUCCUACGGGAGCAGCAUG
rnacentral:rRNA from 1 species